CGAAGUGGCGGCGCCGGGGGAGACGGCGGGGAGUCGUGGGCCGGGGAGGGUGAAGGUUGGAGUCUUCCCCGGCCGAGCCCAGUCCUCAAAACCGUCCCGGCAAGGCAGCCUCGCUUCUCACGGAGAGCGGGGUUCUUGGGCUCUCCGCGUGGUACCGCUCGUAGGUCUCUGAGAAGUCCCGCUGCAGAAAUUCGCCGCCGUCCCCUCCCAUCCCGUCGCUGCCUCCGUCCUCCUCACCUGCUUCCUCCAUGAAGUCCUCAUCGCUGGUGUCCUCAGGCUUGGCGGCGGCCCGCUUGGGGUACAGACCUGUUUUGAGGUCCGGCUCCUCCUGGUCGUGAUCAUCCAUGAGGAACUGAGUGGUGUUGUAGGGUGCGACAGGCUGGCCCUUGGCGAACAUUUCGGCUCGAACCCUCGAAGCUCGCAGGCUCUGCUUCUCGUCGAACUUUUUCUUCUCUUCCCAUGUCAGCUUAUAGUAAGGUUUCCAAUGCCGCUUCUUCUUGGAGGGCCGUCUCCUGUGCUUCUUCUUGCCCAGCUGUCUCUGCUGCUGCCCCAGCGCCUCCUCGCCCCCAGUGGCAGGAGCCCCCAACUUGUUGGCCUCGGAGUCAUGACACGACUGGGCGAGCGGCUCGGACAUCGGCUCCCCUCCAGCCGCCGGGGAGGCGCCGCCGGUGGACAAGUCGUCCCCAUUCUGGCCCUUCUCGCCUGUCUCCAGGCAGCUUGAUCCUGGACAGGCGUGGGUCUUCAGGGGAUGCGGCUGGAGCUCCAGGGCCCCUUCCCCCUCCGGCCCUGGACGGCCACCGGCCUGGGGGGACGCUCUCGAUUGCCACCUACUGUCCUCCUCGGGCACCCGCUCCUCCGCUCCUGGGGGGCGCUCGGGCUUCGGCUCUUCAUGGACAACAGCAGCACCUGUACAGUUGCUAGUUGGAGGCUGGUGCUGAUACUCUGACAAGAGUGUCUCGGCCAUGGCUCAGCAGAGUCCUCUUCGCGAAGUUUGAGAAAUUUUGGCUGUAAGUCAAGGAGAAAAAGAGGUUUUUCUUUUCUUUUAAAAAACGUCCAACAGAGUCCUCUUCGGUCUGUAAUUUCUGCAAUGACGCCUUUCGCCAGUCCUGUCAGCAAACUCCGAUCGCAACUUGGACUCGUCAGUAAAGGGUUAAGUGCCCACAAGCGUGGCCAGCUAGCAGGUCCAAAGGAGUGCAGCGGAGGAACAGUGCGUAAUGUGCGCUGGGGGUGGGCUUCAAACCUCCCCACCAAGCGCCCCCCUGAUCGAGGAGUUGGUGGGCAAACAGAUGAGGUUUAAGUCCAAUGGGUUAAACCCAGCCCUGAAGGGGUUAAAACUACCCGAUGACGCUGCCUCCAAGGGACCGAAUCCACAAAGGGUUAAAUCCCCUGCCGCAGAGCCCACAAGGGGUUAAAGUCCCAGAGCCGCCACCUCCCACUUCCACGGGUGUCGCUCCAACCCGAGCUCCCAGUUCCCUAGGCCCGGCCGGAGCCUUAGCCGAGGAUAGACAAACUCAUCUCCCCUUUGGCUCGAUGCUCUGCUCAGUUCUCCUCCGCCUCCUCCUCUUUUGCUCCCUCCUCCCCCUUCAGAUAGCUCUUCUUCCGCCUCCUCCCCCGACUUCCCCUCCCAACCUGCCUUUCCACCUGCCAACUUCCAACUGCUGUCUUCCAGCCCUCUGCGCCUCUUUUAUAUAGAAGCCUAGUCGCUCCGCCCCUGCGCAUGCGUAACGGAGUCCCCGUGGUGGGCAGCCGGGAAUUGUAGUUUCCAUCUUUGAGGCCUGCCGUCCCCGCGCGCCGUGAGACGUAACCAAUCUUAGAACGCGCAGGGGGCGUCUCCCAGGCCCACCUCUUCCACCGCUGAGCCUUCGCUAGAGAAACGUGAGCGAUCAUUGGACAAGAAUUAUUCGGCUCUCUGAGGACGGAAGACCAAUCAUAGAGAAGAUGGGGCGGGUUCUGGACCAUACCAUUCUGCUUCAAGAAUACGAGAAGAUUCCAUGACCUUUGGGAGCCUACUCAGAAUAGUUUUCUGGAAAGGUGCGUUUAAAUACUGUUGUCAUAAUCUGCUGUCAGCGGAAAGGUUCUGAUCAUUAUAAACAUUUUUUUUAUCCAAUGCAAAAAUGGUUUAUUCCUAAAAAGUAGUCCCUAAAGUGUAAACGAGGAUCAGAUCCUAAAAAGAGAGAUGUUGGCCGUGACUUCUAACAUUCGAUUCUUAAGAUUACAGUACUGUUCUCAGCGCAGGUGGCUAGUUCCUGAGGUGGACAUUUGCGGAGGGAUAUUGUGGACAUUUUUGUAAAAGAUGGAAAGCGCAUGAAGAAGUAAACAAAUGAAAAUAAAAAGCGCCGCCUUAAAGGGACAGCAUAAUGGCGGUUCGUGCAUCAGCCCUGUGCUAGGCCUCGGGGGACGAGAGGGCAGGUUCGAGUCCUGAAUGAUGUCGACCCCCAACAACCCACGGGACCUUUGGGGGAAAGUGGCCGAGCCCCGAACUGAGAGCCAUCUCCAUCCCAGAGGCCAGUGCAAAAUGGUGACCCGCCACGGAGCAUCUCGCCCGGGCGUCGUGGGGGUGAAGGCCUCGCCCCCGAGCCCUGGCUUCCUUCUGUCGAAGAAAAUGGCCUCCCGAGGCCGACUCGGCCUCUGCACUUCCGAGGCCCGGAACAUUUCCUCAGCCGGAACAGGACACUGCGCCAGCUGAUGAGCGUCCCUACUGGAGAGGGGUUCAAAAUCAAUGAGUUUCCGAAAGCGAAGGGAGUGUCAUUCUCAGGGGCCCUCCCUCGGCGCGCGCAGGGGAGACCCAGAAGGAAGAGACCGCUCCAGGAGGGAGGAGGAGGAAGGCGGCCUUCUGUCGUGGGGGUGCUGGCCUGAGGUUGGAGGAGUAGAGGGGGGGGGGGGUGCAGGGAUGUCGUCUUAACAAGAAUUCACACUGCAAGCCCCCACCCAAAGGACUUGGAGCACCCUCAUUCCUUUGGUUAAACCAUUACUUCUUUGCAGCAAACCCAAUGACCCAUUCUUAUUUUUCCUGUAAUAAUCUACAUUCUAAUAGAUGUGCACUGGGUGACCACCGCAGCCCAAUGAGGUAGGCAGGGUAGAAAUUAGUCUCUCUUCUGGAGAUAAGAAUCUCUAGUGACUUGUCCAAGGUCACAUGACAAGUGGUGGUUCUAGCUAGAGCCGAGGUCUCUGUGCUCCCCAAUGCCAUUUUUCUGUCAAAAACACAACCAACCCCCCAAAAAAAAAACUGGAGUGAGUUUUUUUCCAACAACUUCAAGCGUCAUAUAGCUACAGAUUCAUUCAUUUGGCAAUUGUUAGAUGGACAUAAAGGAAUAAAACGUCUCCCUUGCCUCGA